CGAAAGCUAUUUAGGUAGCGCCUCGUGAAUUCAUCUCCGGGGGUAGAGCACUGUUUCGGCAAGGGGGUCAUCCCGACUUACCAACCCGAUGCAAACUGCGAAUACCGGAGAAUGUUAUCACGGGAGACACACGGCGGGUGCUAACGUCCGUCGUGAAGAGGGAAACAACCCAGACCGCCAGCUAAGGUCCCAAAGUCAUGGUUAAGUGGGAAACGAUGUGGGAAGGCCCAGACAGCCAGGAUGUUGGCUUAGAAGCAGCCAUCAUUUAAAGAAAGCGUAAUAGCUCACUGGUCGAGUCGGCCUGCGCGGAAGAUGUAACGGGGCUAAACCAUGCACCGAAGCUGCGGCAGCGACACUAUGUGUUGUUGGGUAGGGGAGCGUUCUGUAAGCCUGUGAAGGUGUACUGUGAGGUAUGCUGGAGGUAUCAGAAGUGCGAAUGCUGACAUAAGUAACGAUAAAGCGGGUGAAAAGCCCGCUCGCCGGAAGACCAAGGGUUCCUGUCCAACGUUAAUCGGGGCAGGGUGAGUCGACCCCUAAGGCGAGGCCGAAAGGCGUAGUCGAUGGGAAACAGGUUAAUAUUCCUGUACUUGGUGUUACUGCGAAGGGGGGACGGAGAAGGCUAUGUUGGCCGGGCGACGGUUGUCCCGGUUUAAGCGUGUAGGCUGGUUUUCCAGGCAAAUCCGGAAAAUCAAGGCUGAGGCGUGAUGACGAGGCACUACGGUGCUGAAGCAACAAAUGCCCUGCUUCCAGGAAAAGCCUCUAAGCAUCAGGUAACAUCAAAUCGUACCCCAAACCGACACAGGUGGUCAGGUAGAGAAUACCAAGGCGCUUGAGAGAACUCGGGUGAAGGAACUAGGCAAAAUGGUGCCGUAACUUCGGGAGAAGGCACGCUGAUAUGUAGGUGAAGUCCCUCGCGGAUGGAGCUGAAAUCAGUCGAAGAUACCAGCUGGCUGCAACUGUUUAUUAAAAACACAGCACUGUGCAAACACGAAAGUGGACGUAUACGGUGUGACGCCUGCCCGGUGCCGGAAGGUUAAUUGAUGGGGUUAGCGGUAACGCGAAGCUCUUGAUCGAAGCCCCGGUAAACGGCGGCCGUAACUAUAACGGUCCUAAGGUAGCGAAAUUCCUUGUCGGGUAAGUUCCGACCUGCACGAAUGGCGUAAUGAUGGCCAGGCUGUCUCCACCCGAGACUCAGUGAAAUUGAACUCGCUGUGAAGAUGCAGUGUACCCGCGGCAAGACGGAAAGACCCCGUGAACCUUUACUAUAGCUUGACACUGAACAUUGAGCCUUGAUGUGUAGGAUAGGUGGGAGGCUUUGAAGUGUGGACGCCAGUCUGCAUGGAGCCGGCCUUGAAAUACCACCCUUUAAUGUUUGAUGUUCUAACGUUGGCCCCUGACCGGGGUUGCGGACAGUGUCUGGUGGGUAGUUUGACUGGGGCGGUCUCCUCCUAAAGAGUAACGGAGGAGCACGAAGGUUGGCUAAUCCUGGUCGGACAUCAGGAGGUUAGUGCAAUGGCAUAAGCCAGCUUGACUGCGAGCGUGACGGCGCGAGCAGGUGCGAAAGCAGGUCAUAGUGAUCCGGUGGUUCUGAAUGGAAGGGCCAUCGCUCAACGGAUAAAAGGUACUCCGGGGAUAACAGGCUGAUACCGCCCAAGAGUUCAUAUCGACGGCGGUGUUUGGCACCUCGAUGUCGGCUCAUCACAUCCUGGGGCUGAAGUAGGUCCCAAGGGUAUGGCUGUUCGCCAUUUAAAGUGGUACGCGAGCUGGGUUUAGAACGUCGUGAGACAGUUCGGUCCCUAUCUGCCGUGGGCGCUGGAGAACUGAGGGGGGCUGCUCCUAGUACGAGAGGACCGGAGUGGACGCAUCACUGGUGUUCGGGUUGUCAUGCCAAUGGCACUGCCCGGUAGCUAAAUGCGGAAGAGAUAAGUGCUGAAAGCAUCUAAGCACGAAACUUGCCCCGAGAUGAGUUCUCCCUGACUCCUUGAGAGUCCUGAAGGAACGUUGAAGACGACGACGUUGAUAGGCCGGGUGUGUAAGCGCAGCGAUGCGUUGAGCUAACCGGUACUAAUGAACCGUGAGGCUUAACCUUACAACGCCGAAG
rnacentral:rRNA from 1 species